AAAACACGAGUAAAUAAUAAAAUCAAGUUGGCAGGCUGGUAAUGUGCUUGAAAUUGAUUUUUUGUAGCAGCAGAGGACAACAAGCGAAGACAGACUCAGGACCAGGGAUAGAGACAGGACCAACAAUUGGCUACGAAGAGCAAGUCUACGGCAGGAUGUCUCUCGAUGGAGUCGGGCAAGGUUUUAAGGCAGUUGCAGAGGACACCAAGAAUAAGGGCUUAAAUUUUCGCUCACAGUGAACCAGCGGUCGCAAUGGAAAGUGGAUUUUGUUUCGGCUCUGACGCUGGCGCUGGAACUGGCGUUGUCAACUGAAAUGCUCGCUGGAACGCAAUGAAAUUCCUAAAUCAAUAAAUGUUUCGAUGGCUUAAUUCCAAAGCGGAA